UAUAUAUUGGAAGUAGUUCUGUUCCUUGGCAGUCCAUCUUCCGGAGACCGAGUCCGAACCAGCCAUGAAAACUCUCGGAAUUCUUGUACUUGUCGUCGGCUUUGCGGCCAUCUGCGUCUCCGGCUUGAGCGAGUGCGAACGGAAGAGAGAAAACAGCCUCAGGAAUCAGCAGCACCCCAAAGCCAAUCAAACCAACAUUGAAAACGUCGGUCUCGUAGUUGAAUGCAACCCAGAUGGAAGCUACAGAGCGCUCCAAUGCUUCCCCCCGGCGACCAAGGGCCGCUUCUGUUUGUGCUACGAUCCUGAAGGUCAGGUGAUCAAAUCUCCCUCCAAGAAGAUCCAGUCGUGCGAUUGUUUCCUGGCGAAAUACAACGCCGAACGAAGCGGGAAACGCGCACGCGCCUGUAAUGCUGACGGAACGUUCGAAUAGACAGGAGCCUCUUCCGUGUUUGAUGAAGCCUGACCCCGACGCCCGAGAAGCAAUCUUAAUAUCCGGCCACAAUUUCUCUUCAUGAUCCGGAGGUCGGCUGGAUCGUUCGAGAAGCCUUUCGCGAUUCCUGUACAAAAUGUGGAGUCUGCUUCGAAUAAAACAGAAGCGGGUGCCCGACCGAUUCCAU